UGUGGGGUGUGUGUGUGUGUGUGUGUGUGUGUGCACGCGCGAAUUCCACCACAU
rnacentral:miRNA from 1 species